rnacentral:rRNA from 1 species
ACAAGGUUUCCGUAGGUGAACCUGCGGAAGGAUCAUUGUCGUGACCCUGACCAAAACAAACCGCGCACGCGUUAUCCAAUCCGUCGACGAUGGGCAUCGUCCAUUGCUCGGCCAUCCUCGGUCACCUACACUUCUCGGAGUGGGGUGCUCGGGGUAAAAGAACCCACGGCGCCGAAGGCGUCAAGGAACACUGUGUCUAACCCGAGGGCAUGGCUAGCUUGCUGGUCAUCUCUUGGGUUGCAAUCGUAUUUAAUCCACACGACUCUCGGCAACGGAUAUCUCGGCUCUCGCAUCGAUGAAGAACGUAGCGAAAUGCGAUACCUGGUGUGAAUUGCAGAAUCCCGCGAACCAUCGAGUCUUUGAACGCAAGUUGCGCCCGAGGCCACUCGGUCGAGGGCACGCCUGCCUGGGCGUCACGCCAAAACACGCUUCCAACCCUCUCAUCGGGGAUCGGGAUGCGGCAUAUGGCCCCUCGUCUCGCAAGGGACGGUGAGCCGAAGAUCGGGCUGCCGACGUAUCGUGUCGGACACAGCGCAUGGUGGGCGUCUUUGCUUUAUCUGCGCAGUGCAUUCGAUGCGUAGCCGCAUGAUGGCCUAAAAAAGACCCAACUAACGGAGCGCGUGUCGCUUCGAUCGCGACCCCAGGUCAGGCGGGACUACCCGCUGAGUU